rnacentral:rRNA from 1 species
UUUUAUAAGAGUUUGAUCCUGGCUCAGGAUGAACGCUGGCUGUGUGCCUAAUACAUGCAUGUCGAGCGAGGUUAGCAAUAACCUAGCGGCGAAUGGG